UUGUCUAUUCAUUGGAUUAUGCUCGAACUCGUCUUGCAAAUGAUGCCAAGGCUGCAAAGAAGGGUGGUGAGAGGCAGUUCAAUGGCUUGGUUGAUGUUUACAGGAAAACCAUCAAGUCUGAUGGUAUUGCUGGCCUGUAUCGUGGUUUCAACAUCUCGUGUGUUGGAAUCAUAGUGUACCGUGGUCUUUACUUUGGAAUGUAUGAUUCUUUGAAACCAGUUGUCUUGGUUGGUGGAUUGCAGGUAAAUAUAAAAUUUGAAUUUGAAAUCUCGUCUGUUUUACUACCUGGGUAUUAACUACUCAUCUUCAUUUCAGUUUCUUUUGGAUUUGUGUUUUUUAGAUGUGCCUAACCAUAUUUGGUUUAAACAUUUUCCUAAUGAUGCUAUUCUAUAUGUUUUUAUGUUUACUUACCUUUGUUAUCCUUCUUGUUAACAGGAUAGUUUCUUUGCAAGUUUUCUUCUGGGAUGGGGAAUCACAAUAGGUGCUGGCUUGGCCUCGUACCCCAUUGAUACCGUGCGUAGAAGGAUGAUGAUGACAUCUGGAGAAGCUGUAAAAUACAAGAGUUCUUUGGAAGCAUUCAAGAUAAUUAUCGCAAAAGAGGGUACAAAGUCACUCUUCAAAGGUGCCGGUGC
rnacentral:lncRNA from 1 species